rnacentral:rRNA from 1 species
AUUGAACGCUGGCGGCAGGCCUAACACAUGCAAGUCGAGCGGAUGAAGAGAGCUUGCUCUCUGAUUUAGCGGCGGAUGGGUGAGUAAUGCCUAGGAAUCUGCCUGGUAGUGGGGGAUAACGUUCCGAAAGGAACGCUAAUACCGCAUACGUCCUACGGGAGAAAGCAGGGGACCUUCGGGCCUUGCGCUAUCAGAUGAGCCUAGGUCGGAUUAGCUAGUUGGUGAGGUAAUGGCUCACCAAGGCGACGAUCCGUAACUGGUCUGAGAGGAUGAUCAGUCACACUGGAACUGAGACACGGUCCAGACUCCUACGGGAGGCAGCAGUGGGGAAUAUUGGACAAUGGGCGAAAGCCUGAUCCAGCCAUGCCGCGUGUGUGAAGAAGGUCUUCGGAUUGUAAAGCACUUUAAGUUGGGAGGAAGGGCAUUAACCUAAUACGUUAGUGUUUUGACGUUACCAACAGAAUAAGCACCGGCUAACUUCGUGCCAGCAGCCGCAGUAAGAC